ensembl:lncRNA
CAUCAUCCUCCAAGAACUAAAACUGGUUAAAACCCAGAAAAUAAGCUGAGAAUAACAUCAAGGAAGGACUGAAGUUUAAGAGGGUACCCCAACUUCCCAGAAAACAAAGCCUACCUAUAAUUAGAUAGGAAAAGUGAGCAAACAACAACAACAAAAAACACCCAACUCUAAAGAAUUUUUAUGGAGACAAAGAGCAAGGUACACACACACAGAAGGGGACACUGAAUAAUACAGAUUUCUCUGUUUGGUAAAUAAAGUCUCCCAUAGAUCUAUAGAUUCACUCUACUUUCCCAGGUCCAUUUCCCACAUUUCUCCUUUACACAUGCCCUAUAUUCUUCCCCAACUGGAUGACUAGAUUUUCCCUGAAUUCAACAUUCCAUCUCUGGCUUGGGCAUUGUCAUCAAUUGUUCCCUCAUUUUGGCUUUUUAGAAUCUUUAUCUCCAUUCAAGACUCAGUUCAGGAGCUAUCUACUUCCAUGAAGCCUUCUCUGAUUCCUUUCUCUCUUUAGUGUUCUCUCCUUCCUCACAUUACCAACAUAUCUGACAAAUUCUCUCCAUUUAAUGUAAGUUCCUUGAAUACUUUACUUCUGGCUUUAUAUCCUCAGUCUGGGAAGUUCAAAUAGUGCCCUACACAUUGCCCAGUUUCUUAAAUCAAAUUCCACUAAGGCAGCAGAUUGGGGGGUUGAACUCCAGUUCUCCCACUCUGAGCCUAAACUUGCCAUAGAACUGCCCAGUGGUAAAGGAGUGGACCCAAUGACCCUCGGAGGCCACCUUCCAUCUCCAAGAUUCUAUGAUUCUAUGACAUGGACAAGAGGUCUGGAGUGGAGAGAUGAAGGGCUCUCCUUAUUGGAGUCAGAAAGGAGGGCAAGGACACCUACCUCCCAAGAAGACAGAGCAAAAUGUAGGAUGGGUCAUCCUUCUCUGUUAUGUCCUCAGACCAGGAAAGAUUUAGGAAGGGACAGAGGACAUUGCAUUUAUCUGGGUCCAGAUCCCACCUCUGUCUCUGUGUGGAUGCUUGGGAUGUCGAGGCAUGUUGCUUCCCCCUCUGAUCCUGCUUCCUCACCUGAGAAGCUGAGAUGA